CUCUCUCUCUCUCUCUCUCUCAUAAAAACCCUAAUUCUCCAUUUCUUUCGAUCAUCUCCCCUUUCUCUUCACAAACCCUAAUAUUCUCUGCUGAUCAAUGGCUAUUUUCAUGAAAUCCUAAGUCUCAACGGAUCGAUCCAUGAAAUGCCAUUCUUCCCAUUUCCAUCUAUUUCUAACGAAACCCUAGCUGCGAUGCGAUGAGAUGAAGAUCAUAAUCAAAUCCAACCGAUCAGUUUUCUGAUACAAGAAACUAAAGGAUGGCGAGAUGGUGUGAAACAGAUCUGGAUGUUUUCGGGCCACUGGAUGUUACUGCAUGUAUUUUUUUUCCCCCCAUGAUGUAA
rnacentral:lncRNA from 1 species